GAUGAACGCUAGCGGGAGGCUUAACACAUGCAAGUCGAGGGGCAGCACGAUGUAGCAAUACGUUGGUGGCGACCGGCGCACGGGUGAGUAACACGUAUGUAACCUACCCUUAACAGGGGGAUAACCCGGAGAAAUUCGGACUAAUACCCCAUAAUGAUAUAAUGAGGCCUCUCGUUAUAUUUAAAUCUAAGGCGGUAAAGGAUGGGCAUGCGGAACAUUAGCUGGUUGGUAAGGUAACGGCUUACCAAGGCUACGAUGUUUAGGGGUCCUGAGAGGGUGAUCCCCCACACUGGUACUGAGACACGGACCAGACUCCUACGGGAGGCAGCAGUGAGGAAUAUUGGUCAAUGGGCGCAAGCCUGAACCAGCCAUCCCGCGUGAAGGAAGACGGCCCUAUGGGUUGUAAACUUCUUUUCCAGGGGGUGGAUUAUCCCGACGUGUCGGGGUUUGACGGUACCCUGGGAAUAAGCAUUGGCUAACUCCGUGCCAGCAGCCGCGGUAA
rnacentral:rRNA from 1 species